UCAUUCAACUGCCCAACAACAAACCAAACACCAAAAGUUGAAGGAAUCCGUCUCCUCUAGCUUUGUUAGCAAUCUGUCAAUCAUUUGUACGCUCAAAUUUUCUCAGAAUCUGUUCACCAAAGUGUCUGUCACUCUGAUCAAACGCCACCAUGUGUGGAGGUGCUAUCAUCUCUGAUUUCAUACCGCCGGCACUGUCGUCGCGACGCCUGACGGCUGAUUUCCUGUGGCCUGAUCUGAAAAAAUCUGGGUUUAAGAAGGGUUCCCCAAAAAGGUUCUCGAAGCCGGUGAUCGAUUUCGAUGAUGAUUUCGAGACUGACUUUCAGGAGUUUAAGGAUGAAGAAUCUGAUGUAGAUGAUUUUGAUGUCGAUGGUGUUUUGGCUGAUAUCAAGCCAUUCGCUUUAUCUGCUACAAAGAAGCCAUCUCCUGCUGCCUCACAUGAUUCGAGCUCUGGUACAUCCGUACAAUUUAACGGUCAAGCUGAAAAAUGCGCGAAAAGAAAGAGGAAGAAUCAGUAUCGUGGGAUUCGACAGCGUCCAUGGGGUAAAUGGGCAGCUGAGAUCCGAGACCCUAGGAAAGGGGUAAGGGUCUGGUUAGGAACUUUCAAUACUGCUGAAGAAGCUGCAAGAGCUUAUGACGCAGAGGCACGAAGAAUUCGUGGUAAGAAAGCUAAGGUGAACUUCCCUGAUGAGACUCCGCGUGCCUCUCCGAAGCGCGCAGCGAAGACUAGCUCUCAGAAACCAGUCUCCAAAUCAAACUUGAGCCCUGUUGAGCCGAAUCUGAACCAGAAUUUCAAUUACUUGAACAAUCCUGAGCAGGAAUACUUUGAUACCAUGGGUUUUGUGGAAGAGAAGCCGCUGAUGAAUCAGUUUGCUUAUGUGGACCCAGUUCCUACGUCUGUAGAUACUGGAUUUAAACCGUUUAAUCAAUCUGAUAACACCCCUGUGUUUUUCAAUUCUGACCAGGGAAGUAACUCCAUUGAUUGUUCCGAUUAUGGCUGGGGUGAACAGGGUUCUAAAACUCCUGAAAUAUCAUCCAUUCUUGAAGCCACUGUCGAGGGUGAUGAGUUCAUGGAGGAUGCAAACCCUAAUAAGAAGCUGAAACCAAGUUCUGACAAUGUUAUGCCUAUUGAAGAUAAUUCGGCAAAGAGUUUAUCCGAUGAGCUAUUGGCUUUGGACGAUCCGAUGAAGUACUUCCAAAUGCCGCCACUCCUUGACGGGAACUGGGAUGCCUCGAUCGAGGCCUUCCUCAAUGGAGAGGCAACUCAGGACGGUGGAAACCCAAUGAAUUUCUGGAGCUUCGAUGACUUCCCUUCCAUUCCCGGGGCUGCUCUCUAAGCAAAAUCUUUGCCCUACAUGCUAGUUUUUGUAAAUAAAGCAACAUGUUAGAAUUUGGUCAAAACUGUGUUGUGAAGUUGAAGCAAAACCAAGCUUCAUUGCAUGCUUAAAGGCCCUUGUCUGCAGUGCUUUCAGAGGUUUAUUUAAGUAUGUUUCCUGUUUUUUUUUAUGUCUAUUUUUGUAGACUUCUGGACUUGGAAACUUAUAUUUUGAUGACUGUAUAAGUGGUUUAUGCGAGUUUUUAUGAUGAAAAUACUGAGAACAUAUGAAUGUUCGAACUUCUG